CAGUUUGGUGAAGAAGAGACACCGGUUAGAUCGUCGAGUCCACCCAAUCGUCAGCUGCCCAGAAGAAUCAAGACAUCAGUGAGAGGCAAGAAGUUUUCUCCGGCAGUCCAGGCUAACUACAAGCCCAGAGGACACCAUGAGGUACCUCCUGUUAGUAGUCAUCACGCUGCUUUGUGUGGCCCUGGUGACAUCGAUAGGCCCGAGGCGGACUCCACCGAGGCGAACCCCCCCGAGGCGGAGUGUCCGAAUGCGAACUUCAGUCCCUACGCAUGCGCCACAUCCACAUCCACAAACGAGGCAACCGUUACAUGGACAUCACCCUACCUGCCAAGAUCUGCCCAGUGGCACCUACCCCGACCUGGAGGACUGCACCAAGUUUUACAUGUGCAGCAAUGGAAUAUCAUCGAGUUUUUCCUGUCCAGACGGUCUCCUUUUUGACAUCAAAACCUUGCGAUGUGAGUGGCCUGAAGAAGCAACAUGCGCGACAUCCGUGAAAGAAAAGAAACGUACACCUGCACCAUUACCUACCAAGAAAAUUUACAGUUCAG